AGUGAACGUUGGCGGCGUGGAUUAGGCAUGCAAGUCGAGCGAUCGUAGCAAUACGGGAGCGGCAAACGGGGGUAGGAAUACAUCGGAACGUACCUUUUGGUUGAGAAUAGCGUUGGGAAACUGACGGUAAUACUCAAUAAAGUCGAGAGACCAAAGGUUUACUGCCGGAAGAGCGGCCGAUGCGAUAUUAGGUAGUUGGUGGGGUAAUGGCCUACCAAGCCUGAGAUGUCUAGGGGGUGUGAGAGCAUGGCCCCCACCACUGGGACUGAGAUACUGCCCAGACACCCUAACGGGUGGCUGCAGUCGAGGAUCUUCGUCAAUGGGCGAAAGCCUGAACGAGCGACGCCGCGUGCGGGAUGAAGGCCC
rnacentral:rRNA from 1 species